AAGUAAUGUGACAUGCCCGUUUGGUGAUAUACUCUGAUUUAUUAUCCGUUAUAUAAUUGCUUUGGGAUAACGGGGUGUUACACACC
rnacentral:pre_miRNA from 1 species